rnacentral:misc_RNA from 1 species
GUAGGUGAACCUGCGGAAGGAUCAUUAUCGUCGGUAGUUUACUACCGUUUAAGGGGCGUGGAAACUCUCUAGGGAGAAGUACACGUCUUUUCUUAACCCUUGACUUUUUGCGCACUCAUGUUUCCUCGGCGGGCUUGCCCGCCGGUUGGACAAUCAUAUAACCUUUUUAAUUCUUAAUCAGCGUCUGAAUAAUUAUAAUAAUUACAACUUUCAACAACGGAUCUCUUGGUUCUG